GCGGCUAUCGUCCAACGGUAGGGCCUCGGUCUUCCAAACCGAUGAUGCCGGUUCGAACCCGGCUGGCCGCUCCA
rnacentral:tRNA from 1 species